ensembl:snoRNA
AAGCCAAUUAAUCUGUUUAUUUGAAUGUGUUUCUGCAGAAAUUUAUAAACAGCUGGCAAUAGCGAAGCCAUUUUAUGAGACUCAAGGACAACUGAGGUCAUUAUAGUCCCUCAAAAUGCCUGACAACC